AAUGCAUUGUGUGGCCAGUCGCGUACUAGCCUCUUGAACCUCGCCCAUGUGUCACUGAGCAAUUCAUCUUCUUCUUGUUAAAAAUUGGUGAUCAAUUUCCUCUUUCU